rnacentral:lncRNA from 1 species
CUGUAAAUGAAUUAAAAACCUCAAGAGACACACUGGAGAGAGAGGGAUUCUACCCUGUUUUGUUAGGACUACAAGGGGAAGGAAUAUUACAUAUACCCUCCCCUAUCAUCAUGACAGUACAUCGUCUGACACUGGAUAUUACAGGUUCUAGAGAAGAUUUCCCCAUGCUUCAGGAAGGACAAAAGGAAGAAUUUGUUUUGAGGGAUUUUGAUACAAUGACAAGUAGUUGCAGAAAAAGAAGUUAUUGAACACCAGAUUAAAAGGGACCUCCAGAACCAUCUGGUACAACGUCAGAACUUUUAAACGGGGACUGCAACAUUUAAAAUCCCAGUAAAUGCAGGUGUGUGCCUCAACUAGCACACAAAAGAGAAGGACACGAGCUUUGAAAAGAUCAAAAAAUGAGAAGCUUUGGGAAAGAGCAGUGGAGAUAAAGCCUGAGAGGAAGCCAAGGAAAAACAGUGAAGUGAUGCUGCAGGAGUAUAGUGAAAAUUUACUUAAGACAUGUGGAUUUUAGUGUGUGUAAGCCCAGCACAUCAGUGCACCCGCUGCAUGCCAGGAAGCUGAGCUAAGCCUGGCUGUUUCAUCCUUACGGAGCCAUGGGGCAGAGGCUUCCUGAAAACAAGAAGCAAAUCAGUAGAGAAUGCUGAGAUAUUGUGAUGCUGUUACCAACCAUUCCUUUGGAAAAAAACUGUCAGAAGCACCAACAUAUCCCAGCUGCAACCCAGAGGACAGGAAAGCCACAAACCUGCUCCAAUUCCCACUUUGACUCACAGUCACAGAAGCUCAGAAAACUAAGGCAAAUGCAAGCACCAAGAUGGAGGAAAAUGAAUAAAAUUUCAGCUUCUGCCUCUCAUUGCAUCUUUUCCUCACCAGCCACUGCUGGAGAAAUGAGUCCAACCCAAGAACCUGACAGAACAGUCCAAUCCUGCCACACGUUUAGCUGGUGUGGCUGGUCUGCACCAGCAGUGCUACUGACAGACACGAGCCACUGACAGCUGACUGAACAAGAAGAUUGGAAGGUAACAACACACAAAAGAAAAAACCACCCAAAAAGCAAACAAAAAUCCUCAAACAUAUAACCCCUGGGAGAUUGAAAAAACCAACAAAAAACAGAAAACAAACCAAACUAAAAAAAGCCCUCCAAAACCAAAAAGAAAAAAACCAAACAAAACAAACAAAAAACCCCACAAACAAUGAAAGCAAACAAACAAAGAACAAAACCAAAAGCAGGAAAAAAGCAAACACCAUGGAUGUUACCAGAAGGCAGCCAAAGCCAGGAGGGGAAAUCACUUCUUUCAACUUCACUGUCUGUGUCAUUGCUGACUUCAGAGUGUGGGGGGAUCAGAGUAAACUGGAAGCCAGAAAGCAAAGGGGGAGCAGCAGGUGUGCUGUGAGGGUCUGCUUCUAGGUGUCACCCAUUGUUUCACUUAAUCAUAUGCAUAAACUUAUGUGGUUAAUGAAUCAUAGAACUGUCUGGGCUGGAAGGACCUUAAAGAUUCUCUUGUUCCAAGACUCUGCCGUGGACAGGGACACCUUCUACUAGAACAAGUUGCUCUGAGCCCCAUCCAACCAGGCCUUAAAUCAGGCCUGGAAAGGAUCUAAAAGCAAUGGUGUUCAGCUCUAUGGAAAAUUAUCCACAGCAGUUUUCUCUGCUCUACUACUUUAUAAAACUUUUGAAAAUCUAAAGCAUACAAGUGAUGGAGGAGCACCAUCUCUCUUUACUUUCAGAAGUUACUCAAGGACAUCCUCCAGUCCCUGUGACAACCACAAAAAUGACUUUUCAGCAGUGGACAUGGGCUGAUUGAUGCUCUGCAGUCUUUUUCCCAGAGGAAGAUGCUUUAAGCCUGCUCUCCUGCUAAGUCAGUGCCUGUAACACUGUGUGGUGUGCAAACCAUGGUCUUAAACUCAUCACUGUCAAGAGGACAGUGGCCUUUGAGAGGAAGAAAACAGCCAAUCAAACAUGUUAAAUAAGCACUGUGUGAUUAUUACUGUAUUAUUAGCAAUAAUACAGACUUUUUGACUCCUGUGGGACAAUACCUGGUGAAGUGCUGGCAGAUAAAGAUCUCCAGACCAGCUAAUUCUUGUUCUGCUGUUCACUUCCCUAUUUUAGGGAAGAAACACUAUCUCCUGCUAUAGGGUGUCUUAGGGCAGUAUGCCAUGGCCCAGACAGCUGCCCCCAGCACUGUCCCCAGACGUCCCCAGCUCUCCAGGGCCAACACCAGCCUGUGAACAGCCAGCAGCACAAGGGGUUUUUCAUUCUCAUGGGACCCCAGUGCCAGCCUCAGGAGCCAAAGCUCUGUACAUGGCCCCUGUAAUGGUAACAAAGCUUCCAAGUGCCAACACCCAGAGCCUUUUGGUCUGCUGGGGAGACCUUUCUUGGGGUGAAAAGGAGUUCUGCUCCCAUGCUUAUUACUGAGUUCUCCACAAAAACUGCAGGCAAGGAUGCCAAUUAACACUAAUUGGAUUUUUUUUUAUAUGUGGACACGUGUCCAUUAGGAACUUGAUGGAUAGACUGAGACAAGUGACUCAUUUUGUUGUUGCCAUAAAGUAACCAUUGUGCCAUUUGGGGUUCUUUAAAAGGAAAAUACAGCAAGUCUCACCUGCUCCCACUAAAGCCAAAGAAUUUUGCUACCAAUUUAAGAGAGAAUUUUGUCUUUGGAUUCUGAACACUUUACCUGGAGGUGGGCAUUGCACUGUCUUGUAGUGCUUUUAUCCAGGAAGAACACCUUGCUGGAUAAAUAAUAUAGUUAGACAUAUUGCUACUGAUCUUAGCAACACCUUGUGCUUUCUUUGUAAAGCAUUCUUUGAGUUUUUUUCUUGAUGUACAGUUUAAGAAGAUCAAGUUUGAGCUUUAUGUCAGUACUGAAGCUGGCUUUCAAUUUCUUUUAAAUUUUUCCUAAACACUUCCCAAACACUUAUCAUUGAUUCAUCACCAGCUGAAGACUACAAGAGCAUAUAAGCUUCUUUGGUGAGGAACCAGUUAGUUUGGUCACAGGAGGAAGCUGACAGCUCCAUUAUGGGCUUGUCAGAAAUCAGAUGCAUUUUAAAGAGGACACCAUCCCCUGGGUCUCCUGCUCAGCACGAGGCAGUGAAGGAACAAAUGCAGAACAAAGGUGAGGGACCCCAAAUGCAAUUUUCAGCUGCUCACCCAGAGAAGUAGGUAGCCUGCCUAAGGCAUCAUUCUUACACAGCUCUCUCGGCAGGGAAACUGGUUCAGAAAAAUGCUGCUCAUUUGGCUUUUCUUUCCCUGACCCAUGGUCCUAAUGUGUGGAUCAUAUGCAAAGGCAAGAUCAGAAAUGACAGAUCGCUUUUGCUCUCAGAUAUAGUCAGGUAGAUGAAUAAAUUCAACUCAGUGAGUUUUGGCA